UACAGAGGGGGCAAGCGUUGUCCGGAAUUACUGGGCGUACAGCGCGCGCAGGCGGACCGCCACGUGCCGUGUGACAAGCCACUGCUCAACAGUGGAGGGCCAGGGUACACGAGCGGUCUGGAGGCAGGGAGAGGGAUGUGGAAUGCCCGGUGGAGCGGUGAAAUGCGUAGAGAUCGGGCGGAACACCAGCGGCGAAGGCGGCAUCCUGGUCCUGUACUGACGCUGAGGCGCGAGAGCGUGGGGAGCGAACUGGAUUAGAUACCCAGGUAGUCCACGCCGUAAACGAUGUGUACCCGGCGCUGGGGAGUGAUUGCGCUCCUCGGUGCCUCAGCUUACGCAGUGAGUACACCGCCUGGGGACUACGGCCGCAAGGCUAAA
rnacentral:rRNA from 1 species